CUUUGAUCUACAGUGAGUUUUAUUAGAGAUAUCUUUUGCCUGCCAUUGUAUGAUGUCUUUGGUCUUACAAUUUACAAUAUCUCUUCUACAUGUAGCUUGGAGCUUGGGUGCAUCAGAUGUUAGAACAGCAGAUGCCCUCAUCUGAUAUUCCAUCCAAAAUUCUUUGUCAAGUGAUCAAAAUUGAUCUUCAGCGAAGAGAGUUUACUGGCAGCAAUCCUGAACUCCUGAAACCUGCAGAAAGAUGCACAGUGAAUUCAUUUUAGAAAACGCUUACUGCUUCGGAUGUAAGCAAGCAUUGUACUUUAAAUAUUUAUCAAAAGCAUGCAUAGGAAUGUCUACCAGCAUUGGACAUGCAGCAACAGACACCUUGUCAACAAUUGAUUCCAAAAGAUCUGCAUGGCAACGAGUGGCAUUUCCAACAUGUUAAUCAGAGGUGUAAAUAUCAACUUGAACACCCAGUUGCAGAAAGUCGGAAGAAGGAAAGAACAAUUUUAAUAAUAUUUUUAGAGGUUAAUUAGUUCCCUUUUUUUUUUCUUGCAUUACAAAGACUCCAAAUUUUCUUUCCUAUUCAAGAAUUGUUGUUUAUGAGUUGUGCUUAGAAAUGAUGAAUAUUAUUAUACAAUAACUUUAAUUUUUUGAGUUGUA